rnacentral:rRNA from 1 species
GACGAACCGUGCGAACGUUGUUCGGAAUCACUGGGCUUAAAGGGCGCGUAGGCGGGUCGGCAAGUCGAAGGUGAAAGCCCACGGCUCAACCGUGGAAGAGCCUCCGAUACUGCCGGCCUCGAGGGGUGUAGGGGCGUGCGGAACUUCCGGUGGAGCGGUGAAAUGCGUAGAUAUCGGAAGGAACACCGGUGGCGAAAGCGGCGCGCUGGAUACCUACUGACGCUGAGGCGCGAAAGCCAGGGGAGCGAACGGG